CAGUAGCCGCGGUAAAACGUAGGUGGCAAGCGUUGUCCGGAAUGAUUGGGCGUAAAGCGUCUGUAGGUGGCUUUUCAAGUCCGCCAUCAAAUCCCAGGGCUCAACCCUGGAUAGGCGGUGGACACUACCAAGCUGGAGUACGGUAGGGGCAAAGGGAAUUUCCGGUGGAGCGGUGAAAUGCGUUGAGAUCGGAAAGAACACCAACGGCGAAAGAACUCUGCUGGGCCGACACUGACACUGACAGACGAAAGCUAGGGGAGCAAAUGGGAUUAGAUACCCCAGUAGUCCCUGUCUCUUAUAC
rnacentral:rRNA from 1 species